GGGAGCUCUCCCAUAUGGUCGACCUGCAGGCGGCCGCGAAUUCACUAGUGAUUCGUUUACCGCGGCUGCUGGCACAGAGUUAGCCGGUGCUUAUUCUGCGAGUAACGUCCACUAUCCAAGAGUAUUAAUCUCGGUAGCCUCCUCCUCGCUUAAAGUGCUUUACAACCAAAAGGCCUUCUUCACACACGCGGCAUGGCUGGAUCAGGGUUCCCCCCAUUGUCCAAUAUUCCCCACUGCUGCCUCCCGUAGGAGUCUGGGCCGUGUCUCAGUCCCAGUGUGGCGGAUCAUCCUCUCAGACCCGCUACAGAUCGUCGCCUUGGUAGGCCUUUACCCCACCAACUAGCUAAUCCGACUUAGGCUCAUCUAUUAGCGCAAGGCCCGAAGGUCCCCUGCUUUCUCCCGUAGGACGUAUGCGGUAUUAGCAUCCCUUUCGAGAUGUUGUCCCCCACUAAUAGGCAGAUUCCUAAGCAUUACUCACCCGUCCGCCGCUAGGUAAAGUAGCAAGCUACUCUUCCCCGCUCGACUUGCAUGUGUUAAGCCUGCCGCCAGCGUUCAAUCUGAGCCAUGAUCAAACUCUAAUCGAAUUCCCG
rnacentral:rRNA from 1 species